AUGUUAUUAUUCCUUUUGUCAUUUUAUGCAAUUCUUCACUGUGUCUUUUGCUUUCACUCGAAUUUGAAGUUGAAUCAGAAGCACAACAAGGUUGAUACGAAGCUUCGAAUUGAGAUGCAAGAUGUUGUUCGUGUGAGAAUUGAAGAUCUCUACAGAGAUGAUGAUCAGACCGGUGGCGGAGUGACAGUCACUGGGGAAAUUGGUUGA